rnacentral:tRNA from 1 species
AUCUAAAUAGCUUAACUAAAGUGUAGUAUUGAAGCUACUAAGAUAGGAGACAUCCUUUUAGAUA